rnacentral:rRNA from 1 species
UACGGGGGGGGCAAGCGUUGUUCGGAAUUACUGGGCGUAAAGGGCGCGUAGGCGGCUUUUCAAGUCGGGCGUGAAAUCUCCGGGCUUAACCCGGAAGGGUCGCUCGAUACUGUUGAGCUAGAGUGUGGAAGAGGCAACUAGAAUUCCGUGUGUAGCGGUGAAAUGCGUAGAUAUACGGAGGAAUACCUGAGGCGAAGGCGGGUUGCUGGGCCAACACUGACGCUGAGGCGCGAAAGCCAGGGGAGCAAACGGG